rnacentral:rRNA from 1 species
UACGUAGGGGGCCAGCGUUGUCCGGAAUCAUUGGGCGUAAAGCGCUCGUAGGCGGUCAGGUAAGUCCGGUGUGAAAGUCAAAGGCUCAACCUUUGAAUGCCGCUGGAUACUGCUUGACUUGAGUCCGGAAGGGGCGAGUGGAAUUCCUGGUGUAGCGGUGAAAUGCGCAGAUAUCAGGAGGAACACCAAUGGCGAAGGCAGCUCGCUGGAACGGUACUGACGCUGAGACGCGAAAGCGUGGGGAGCAAACAGG